GUCUUCAUGGCUUCAUAGCCGGGAGAACACCCGACUAUGGUGAGGUAGGAUUCGGGUUCGAGCCCCGAUGAAGUCA